rnacentral:rRNA from 1 species
UACGUAGGGUGCAAGCGUUAAUCGGAAUUACUGGGCGUAAAGCGUGCGCAGGCGGUUUUGUAAGUCUGUUGUGAAAUCCCCGGGCUCAACCUGGGAAUGGCAAUGGAGACUGCAGGGCUAGAGUUUGGCAGAGGGGGGUAGAAUUCCACGUGUAGCAGUGAAAUGCGUAGAUAUGUGGAGGAACACCGAUGGCGAAGGCAGCCCCCCUGGGUCAAAACUGACGCUCAUGCACGAAAGCGUGGGGAGCAAACAGG